rnacentral:lncRNA from 10 species
GAUAUACUAUGCUAGCAUACGAAAAUAGGUCUGUACAUUUUUGAGCACCCAAAGUGGUAAGAGACAUUCUUGAAAACAGCUUAAAAAUUUCUGUAGAUACCACCACAAAUAAUCCACACAAUACUUCAACAAGCAUUUAUUAAACGCCUACUAUGUGCUCAGCACUAUACUAGGCACUCGGGGGUGCAGAGAUACAAAUGUAAAAGUUAUUAUUCCUGCCCUCAAGGAGCUUACAAUUUAAUUUUGGAAAUAAAUACAAAUAUGAAACUGUAACACAGAGUGCUAGAAAAUAAUUACAAAGCAACAUAUUAGUAAGUACAUGGACCACAGUACAAACUCAAAAGAUAAGUGCUGAGGCAGCACAGAAUGAGGGAGGUCAUCGCAUGAGGUGAUGUCAAUCAGGGAGAGCUCAGUCAGAAGAUAUAAAGGAAGAAAGGCUUUGAAGGGAGUGAUGAACAUGAGCUGGGACCAAAGAGCAAUCUAAGCAAAAAGAAUAGCAUGAGAAAGGCACAGAGGCAAGAGCUUGUAAGACAUCAGUAGAAGGCUGUAGGAAGUUUGAAUCUGUUGAAUCAAGGUGAAUAUGCUAGAGAGUAAUGAAGGCUGAUGAAUAUUAGCUACUCACCCAAAAGACAAAGUUAAGC